rnacentral:rRNA from 1 species
UACAGAGGCCUCGAGCGUUAGGCGGAAUCGCUGGGCUUAAAGCGUGUGUAGGCGGACUUCUAAGUGCCUUGUGAAAUCCCACGGCUCACCCGUGGAACUGCUGGGCAUACUGGGAGUCUUGAGCCACCUAGGGGCGAGCGGAACAAAUGGUGGAGCGGUGAAAUGCGUAGAUAUCAUUUGGAACGCCAACGGAGAAAUCAGCUCGCUGGGGGUGUGCUGACGCUGAGACACGAAAGCCAGGGGAGCGAACGGG